UAAUGGAGGACCAAGCACCAUAAGAGAGAUUAGCAAAGAAAAUACAAUAGAGUGAUACAAAAAUCAGACAACAAAAGGAUCCAAAGACGAUUAUCUUGGAAAAUGGGAAGUCAUGACAAGUGCAACGAAUGCAUGGAUAAAGGAAAUUAAGAAGUGAACGUUAGACAAAAAGGUGGUCGGAUAGAUAGUUAAAUAUUUAUACAUAGAAAACCUUUUAAAGAGAUUCCAUGUUUAUUUCCAAGUGCCAUGGAAAAAGUAUCUAUCGAUGAGUAACAACUAUGAAACUGCAAGAAUGACACCGUAGCUUUACAGUGGAAAAAAAAAAAGACAGAGAGAGAGUAAGAUUUUAGUCUGUAAUAACAUUCAACGAGAGAAUGGGAAUAAUUAAAGAGAAGUUUGCAUAAGAUCUUUUACCCUACUCUUUGUGUUUGUUAUUUUGUAUUGUUUAAUGUGUUCUCAAGUGACAUGUAAGGAUGUUCAUUUAGAGAAUAAAUACUGUGACUCUAAAUGGCAUGUAAGGAUGCUCAUAGAAGAAUAAAUAAUUUUACUCUUAAUGGCAUGUAAGGAUGCUCAUAGAAGAAUAAAUAAUUUCACUCUUAAUGGCAUGUAAGGAUGGUCAUAAGAGAAAGAAAAACUUUUCAUAUAUUACGAGCAUGUGAUUGCAAAACUUAUGUAUUCAAAGCAUGUAUAUGUAAGUUAUUAUGAUGGAGUAUAUUUUGGUAUUUAAAGUAAUGUAUAGAGAAAUAAUAAUACUUAAUUAAGUUGUGUAUAUUUUAUGUGUUAUGGAUUGACCGAUAAGACAUAGGUUAAAUGCAUGUUUAUUGGGUCCAUAUAUAUAUGGUAGAUAAUGAGGUAAUGCAGUAAGUGGUGAAAGACAUGACGACUCAACACCCCGAGUGUUGGUAAGUUAAAUUUCGAGGACGAAAUUUCUUUUAAGGAGGGUAGAAUGUAAUAUCCAGAUUAAAAUAGUAUUUAAUUUUUUUUUUUGGAUAUUAAUUGAGCGAGGAUAAUUAUCUUGUUUCUUUGUGUUGUUAGUGAGUUGAUAUUAUUGCUUAGAGUAGUUGUACCAAUUUUCUAGAGAGAGUUAAAGUUGUAUUAACUACGAAAGUAAAAUAUUAUGGUAUUUUUACAGAGUAAGUAAUCGUUUAAUUAAAGCCCAAUAUGAAGGUCCAUUAGGGUUUUAUAAUAUGUUUAGUGAGUUUAAUUAAUUAAUGUUAAAAAUUCGUAGGUUUGGAUAAAUUCGCAGGAUUAAAAACUGUUUUACUAAAAUAAUCAUAUCUGGAGUUCUAGAGCUCGGAUUGAGGUGAUUUCAGUGGCGUUGGAAAGAUAAUUUAAAGAUCUAUAAAUUUUGUAGAAAUAACUAUAUCAGAAUUCGUAAUUUUUCUAGGUCAAAACUAAGCCCUAAAGUUACGAGAUUGAGAGCUUACAAUUUAAAUUUAAAAGUUAGAUAUUUGUUUAUUUAAUAAUUUAUCAUAUUAUUAUUGUUAUUAUGUUAAUAUUAUUAUUAUUCAUAAAACUAAAGCUAAUAAGAGUCAGAAUAGUAUAGGUUUCAUUAACCCUAAAAUUAUAUCGUUCUAUUCUUCCCACCUAUCUGAGCAAGACUAACCCUAAAAAUUUUCAAGUCAUCUUUCCAUUACAUCCUUAGCCAAAUCUAUAUCACUAUUCACUCUCAUCUUUGAUCACCAUCAUCUUAUGUCUAUCGAUCCAAGUAGCUUGAUGUAUUUGAGGUAGUAGUGACGAGAUAACAAGUUUAAGCAGCGGGAUUUGAGGUAUUAGACAGGGAAGUAUGUAUAGUGAGCAGGGUCAGUUAAGUACGUAUACUGUGAGCGGCUACGGGCGGACAAACGAUCUAGAACGCCAGUGGUGCCUUAGUUUUAUUUUAAGCAGUUGAUAAAUCUAACACAGUGGAAAUGCAUUAUUUAAAAUUAUUUACUUACUGUAUCUUGUUUUACAAAUGAAGGAUCCUUCUCUGUUGCAUUUUGAUUUUUUUUAAAAUCCACUGUUGUAUUUAAAUUAUUUUUUUUUUAUCUUUUCAAAUUA